rnacentral:rRNA from 1 species
UACGAAGGGUGCAAGCGUUACUCGGAAUUACUGGGCGUAAAGCGUGCGUAGGUGGUUUGUUAAGUCUGUUGUGAAAGCCCCGGGCUCAACCUGGGAAUGGCAAUGGAUACUGGCAAGCUAGAGUGCGGUAGAGGGUAGUGGAAUUCCCGGUGUAGCGGUGAAAUUCGUAGAUAUCGGGAGGAACACCUGUGGCGAAGGCGGCUCACUGGACCACAACUGACGCUGAGGCGCGAAAGCUAGGGGAGCAAACAGG